rnacentral:rRNA from 1 species
AAAGGCACUUGCUCAACGAGUUGUUUGUGAUAGAUAUCGUUUGUCUAGAAUUAGUUAGGAGAUACUGGAAUUCAAUGUGUAGCGGUGGAAUGCGUAGAUAUAUUGAGGAACACCAGAGGCUAAGGCGAGUAUCUAGGACAUAAUUGACGCUGAGGCUUGAAAGCGUGGGGAGCAAAUGGGAUUAGAUACCCCAGUAGUCCACGCCGUAAACGAUGGGUAUUAGGUAUUUGGUYUAGGACUGAGUGCUGUAGCUAACGCGUUAAAUACCCCGCCUGGGUAGUAUAUAUGCAAAUAUGAAACUCAAAGAAAUUGACGGGGACCUGAACAAGUGGUGGAGCAUGUUGCUUAAUUCGAUAAUACACGAAAAACCUUACCGAGGCUUGUAAUCUUUUGCGAAGCUAUAGAAAUAUAGUGRAGGUUAUCARAAUGACAGGUGGUGCAUGGCUGUCGUCAGCUCGUGUCUUGAGAUGUUUGGUUAAGUCCCGUAACGAGCGCAACCCU